rnacentral:rRNA from 1 species
AGUUUGAUCAUGGCUCAGAUUGAACGCUGGCGGCAUGCCUUACACAUGCAAGUCGAACGGUAACAGGGUCUUCGGAUGCUGACGAGUGGCGAACGGGUGAGUAAUACAUCGGAACGUGCCCGAUCGUGGGGGAUAACGCAGCGAAAGCUGUGCUAAUACCGCAUACGAUCUACGGAUGAAAGCGGGGGACUCGCAAGGGCCUCGCGCGGACGGAGCGGCCGAUGGCAGAUUAGGUAGUUGGUGGGAUAAAAGCUUACCAAGCCGACGAUCUGUAGCUGGUCUGAGAGGACGACCAGCCACACUGGGACUGAGACACGGCCCAGACUCCUACGGGAGGCAGCAGUGGGGAAUUUUGGACAAUGGGCGCAAGCCUGAUCCAGCCAUGCCGCGUGAGUGAAGAAGGCCUUCGGGUUGUAAAGCUCUUUCGGCCGGGAAGAAAUCGCAUGGGUUAAUACCCUGUGUGGAUGACGGUACCGGAAUAAGAAGCACCGGCUAACUACGUG